ensembl:lncRNA
GGAGGAGAAGGGGACGACAGAGGAUGAGAUGGCUGAAUGGCAUCAGUGACUCAAUGGAUUGAUUACAGCCCUAGCGGAACAAAGUCAGCGGGAGCUACUUGGUGAGGAGUGCCUGCUGCAGAGGACCAGCAGAAGUCUGUUUCUUGGAGCUCAGUUGGCGGCUUGCUUCCCACUCAGCAGGACCUCCCUCAAUUCCUGUUAGACCUCGUUUCUCCUGGUUGUAUGGACACGCGUUAAGUGUAUUUACGACAUUUUGUUUAAUAAAACUUCAUCCUCGAUUCCCUGUCUUCAACAACCUCAACAAAAAUGUGCCUUUCCGGAGAUGGAUUGCACAGCAAUGUGAGUGGACGUGGGCCUGCACACAGAAAAAUGGCUAAAACGAUGUAUUCCCAAAGAGUGAGCAGUUGUUAAGCCUGAUGAUCACAGCUAACGUCUCCGGAGGGUUUUCCUGUACCGGGCACCCGGCUAGCCUUCUUCCCCUGCUUUGUCUUGGGCAGUCAUCCCAGCAGCCCUCUGCUCAGAGCGCUCCUGAGGAAGUCUGGCAGAAAGCAACCCCGUAGCUCACACCAGAUCCCAGCAAGUACACGGGCAGAGCCAGACUUGAGCUCAGAGCCCUACCUAAUGUCAGAGCUCUUUCUUGUCAUCAAAGUACAAAGGGUCAGUGCCUCAGUCGUGUCUGACUCUGUGUGACCCCAUGGAACUGUAGCCCUCCAGGCUCCUCUGUCUAUGGGGAUUCUCCAGGCAAGAAUACUGGAGUGGGUUGCCAUGCUUCCAGGGGAUCUUCCCAACCC